rnacentral:rRNA from 1 species
UACGGGGGGGGCAAGCGUUGUUCGGAAUUACUGGGCGUAAAGGGCUCGUAGGUGGCCAACUAAGUCAGACGUGAAAUCCCUCGGCUUAACCGGGGAACUGCGUCUGAUACUGGAUGGCUUGAGUGUGGGAGAGGGAUGCGGAAUUCCAGGUGUAGCGGUGAAAUGCGUAGAUAUCUGGAGGAACACCUGCGGCGAAGGCGGGUUGCUGGACAGUUCCUGACGCUGAGGCACGAAGGUCAGGGGAGCAAACGGG